rnacentral:rRNA from 1 species
GUGGGGAAUAUUGGACAAUGGGGGCAACCCUGAUCCAGCAAUGCCGCGUGUGUGAAGAAGGUCUUCGGAUCGUAAAGCACUUUCGACGGGGACGAUGAUGACGGUACCCGUAGAAGAAGCCCCGGCUAACUUCGUGCCAGCAGCCGCGGUAAUACGAAGGGGGCUAGCGUUGCUCGGAAUUACUGGGCGGAAAGGGCGCGUAGGCGGCUCUGUUAGUCAGGCGUGAAAUUCCUGGGCUUAACCUGGGGACUGCGCUUGAUACUGCGGAGCUUGAGGCCGAGAGAGGGUGGUGGAAUUCCCAGUGUAGAGGUGAAAUUCGUAGAUAUUGGGAAGAACACCGGUGGCGAAGGCGACCACCUGGCUCGGUACUGACGCUGAGGCGCGACAGCGUGGGGAGCAAACAGGAUUAGAAACCCCAGUAGUCC